CUACGUAGGGUGCGAGCGUUGUCCGGAAUUACUGGGCGUAAAGAGCCCGUAGGUGGUUUGUCGCGUCGUCUGUGAAAUUCCGGGGCUUAACUCCGGGCGUGCAGGCGAUACGGGCAUAACUUGAGUACUGUAGGGGAGACUGGAAUUCCUGGUGUAGCGGUGAAAUGCGCAGAUAUCAGGAGGAACACCGGUGGCGAAGGCGGGUCUCUGGGCAGUAACUGACGCUGAGGAGCGAAAGCAUGGGUGGCGAACAGGAUUAGAUACCCUGGUAGUCCAUGCCGUAAACGGUGGGCGCUAGGUGUAGGGGUCUUCCACGACUUCUGUGCCGUAGCUAACGCAUUAAGCGCCCCGCCUGGGGAGUGCGGCCGCAAGGCUAAAACUCAAAUGAAUUGACGGGG
rnacentral:rRNA from 1 species